CAGCAGCCGCGGGAAAACGGAGGGGGCUAGCGUUGUUCGGAAUUACUGGGCGUAAAGCGCACGUAGGCGGCUGUGUAAGUCAGAGGUGAAAGCCCGGGGCUCAACCCCGGAAUAGCCUUUGAGACUGCAUAGCUUGAACACGGGAGAGGUGAGUGGAAUUCCGAGUGUAGAGGUGAAAUUCGUAGAUAUUCGGAAGAACACCAGUGGCGAAGGCGGCUCACUGGACCGUUGUUGACGCUGAGGUGCGAAAGCGUGGGGAGCAAACAGGAUUAGAUACCCCCGUAGUCCCUGUCUCUUAUAC
rnacentral:rRNA from 1 species